rnacentral:rRNA from 1 species
UACGAACUGUGCGAACGUUAUUCGGAAUCACUGGGCUUACAGGGUGCGUAGGCGGCGAGGCAAGUCAGGUGUGAAAUCCCACGGCUCAACCGUGGAACUGCGCUUGAAACUGCCUUGCUCGAGUGAGCUAGAGGUAGACGGAACUUCCGGUGGAGCGGUGAAAUGUGUUGAUAUCGGAAGGAACACCAGAGGCGAAGGCGGUCUACUGGAGCUUGUCUGACGCUGAGGCACGAAAGCCAGGGGAGCAAACGGG